UCCUACAAAUGGCCUGACACUCACUGUAACUUAUCUUCACAGUGCACCAUUCAGAAGAAUUUGAAGAGACUGCACAUCAAUCUCUUUCAUUUCUAGAGCAGUUUAGAGGAUUUUUUUUCUUUUAUAUAGGAGUCAUGACAAGAGCCAACUGAAGCUUUUCUGCAAAUACAUCUCCCACGAUAUGUUACUUCUCUUUCUCUUUCACGAUGCUGAAACAGAAAAAGGAAACUACUCUCUCCGUAGUAAAAGGAGCUUCAUUGGAUACCCUGCAAGGUAUAAAAGCUGAAAUGAGAAAUGAGAAAACAUACAAUUCUUUAAGUCUAGGCCUUGAAAAGUUGCCGAAGAUUAGUGAAGAAAGAAAUAAUACGAUCACUACCGCACAUUAUGGAUGGUCAUGAGAAAGGGCUUCUUGCAAAGAGUGGAGGGAGCAAAGAAUGAUGUCAUGCUGGAUGGAUGCUACCACAAGUUCUCCAGUUCUUCCCUCUGAAUUUACGGCACUGUGUUGAUAUAGCUUUAGCUGUCCUCUCUGAUAUAAUGUGUAUGCUGCUUUCAUAUGAAAUAAGUCACAUGAAUGGAGUCAGUGAUUCCUUUCCAAAAUUCCUGACAGAUGUUCCACACACCCCAAAAUUACUGAUCUUUAUUCAAUAAUCAAAUUCUCAGCAGAUAACCAUUUUUCAAAGAAAUGUUAUUUUGCCUGCUAAAUGAAAGGAAGGGAGAUCAUUAACAGUUCUCUAAGAAAUGCAUUUUAAAUGAAAGGCUUUUUUUUUCAGCCUUUGGAAAGAAGAAUAUCAAAAGUUAAACUGAAACAUCCAGGGAAAACUCAAAUUAAUAUGUUAAUUCUGUCAACGUUCAAGGUUCUGAGUCCAAGCCUAGAAGUAGCGUAGCAUAUGGUGAUUUACUGCUCCCUAGCUAUCAUUUUAACUACAGUUUUUGAAAUCAC
rnacentral:lncRNA from 1 species